rnacentral:rRNA from 1 species
UAAUACGGAGGGUGCGAGCGUUGUCCGGAAUCACUGGGCGUAAAGGGCGCGUAGGUGGCUUCUCAAGCGCGCGGUGAAAGCCCGGGGCUCAACCCCGGGUCGGCCGUGCGGACUGGGAGGCUCGAGCACUGUAGGGGCGGGUGGAAUUCCGGGUGUAGCGGUGGAAUGCGUAGAGAUCCGGAAGAACACCGGUGGCGAAGGCGGCC